UCCCUCCUGCAUCCAAUAGGACACGAGUCAUUCCGCGUCCCGGACCCUGGGCGCGGGGCUCGUUCCGUAUCCUCGCUCCUUCACAGCCGCGCUUGGGCUCCGCGCGCUCCCGCCGAGCUCCUCCCCUCGGGGCGGGGCGCAGCGUGGCCCGUCCCGGCCCAGCGGCGGCGGCGGCGAUGUGGAGUCGGGGCGCGCGGCUUCGCUGCUAGAGGGAGGUUGGGGGGCGCCCGCCGGCACCCGGGAGACCCGGCCGGAGGUUCCGUACAUUCUUGGCUUCCUGAUUUGGAAAAUGUGUACCUGGCAUCCUUGUUAAGUCAAGACAGUCAUACAGCAGGAAUUCUCUUUCCUAGUGAGUUACAUGUGGGAUACCAGGCCUCCCUUUGUCAUGUGCUCUGAUCCUGCCUAUCACCAACUCACAGCAGCUGCUGAAACGCAGUGGUCCACCUCCAGUGAGCCCCUGGUCACAGAAUGGCUGAGGUUGGGCAGGUCCAAUGGAGGCCAUCUCGUCCAAAAUGACUGCCUUCAAAUCCUGAUAGGAAUGUCUUCAAGCCCUUCAAGCUUUCACACUGCCCUGAGAUAAAGGGAAAUGGUUGUCUUUCUUCUGAUGCUUCUUCUGAAGGCUUCAUGUAGAAAGAUCUUGAUGUAGGCAAGGCAGCUCGACUGUGACUUAUCGGGUCAUCUUCUGUUCAGCUGUGUGGUGCUGAGGGAUGAUCUCUGUAUCAUUUCAAAGCAUCUAUUUUGUAUGGCAGUCCUCAGAGCAUCCCAGAGAGCUGGGUGCUUACUUUCCAAGCACACACUGCUCUUGUGAAUUGCAAGUCAUGUUGCACUGUUAUUUUUAGGGUAUGUACCUUAAUUUAGUAGUCCUGCUUAACUCUUCUAGCUUUUCAAAGAUGGACAAAACACAGCUCGUUAGCCUGGAUUUUAAGCUUAAUCAUAGGUAAAAUUCUGAAGGAGCUGCUUUGAAACUGUUGAACAAAUGAGCAAUUUCCUUGUGUCCAGGGCGAAUCUUUCAUAGUCAAGGGAUCUGAAGUUGCAGGCUGUGAACUUAUGUAGUUACAGAUGCUGAGCUGUUAAGAUUCUGUUUUCUUAUAUAGAUAAUAACUGCCAUAAUAAUACAGCUCCCAAACCUAAAUUAAACUGCUCACUUCAAGUAUUGAACUAAGUUGAUCAAGUGUGGAGGAAAUAAAUAAGAUACAAUUUUACUUGAAAUUAUGAAUAUGUAAGGUCCAAGAAAUCAAACAUGAACCUAGUUUGUUAUCUAAAAUAAUUAAUUAGCUGAUUCUUGCAGUAUACGUAAGCUUCUGUUAACAAAUUUAACAUGGGUGAACAUGUAGGACCUAUAACAAAUAUAAAUAUGUCCGCAAUGAUAAGACAUUUCAGUUCCAAACAAAAGAAAAUCCAAGUGCAUCUGCAGGCUUCUUACGCAUCAUCAUGUCUAGAUAUUAAUAGAAUUCAGAGGAAAGAAGGCAAACUCAAUUUGCUAAGAUCCAGAGAAUAGAUGUAUUCAACUUCCUAUUAAGUAAUUGCAUGAGGCAUUUUUCAUUUUAAUGCUCGCUCUGAAUUUCUCUCUUGUUUUUCCUCCUUUUCCAUUAGAUAUUUACUGUCUUAAAUGUUUCUCAGUGCCUUCAUCAGUGUUGCAUUUAUUUCUAGCUCAAUUAAGAAGUGAUUGUAAUAGUAACUUGUAAUGACUUGCUUAAGGCAGUGCUGAAUUUGAAGGACUUUAUUAUGUGACAGAGCUACGGUUUAAUGCGUGCAUUUAUUAAUAUUUAUUUCCUAAAAGGGAAAAACAUUUUCAUGCCUGCAUAAACAUCUUACAAACAGGAUCACAUGGUAACUCUAUGACUUUGAGUUAGUUAAAAAGAUAGUAUGCUGGUCAAAACUUCAUGCCUAAAGAUAACAUUGUUAUAACAUGAAUGAAAGGAGCCCUAGAAUGACUGUGUGUCAUAAUAAAUCAUGUUGGUUGAUGUGUCCUUAA